rnacentral:lncRNA from 1 species
AAAGCUAUUUCACAUCCUUCCUUUGAGUCGUGUCUCACAUUGCCUCGUUAUAGGCUUUGGGAUCAUCUCUAUGCUCCCCAUCUCCCAUGAGAAAAUAAUUUUUUCUACAUCCUCUAUUAAGCAUACCCAAGUACCUUUCGAGAGGGUAGGAGAUCCUAUUAUGUGUACGAGGUGGAAGAGGAAUAUACAUCUACUGGCUUAUGAUGAAUAGGUUCUUAAGGUCUCAAG